UGUCCGGCCCUUCAGGCAAAUUUUAGGACCCUAUGUGGCCCGCGAGCCAAAAAGUUUGCCCACCCCUGCCCUAGAUGAUGUAAAUGUCAAUCCGAUUUACAGCACGCAGGUGUCUACUGUCACUGUGGCCAUAGAAACCUGUGAGUUUGUCAGAAGUUUCUCAGGCAGAAGUGGACUAAAGCCAUUGCAACAGAUGAGCAGCUCUGACCUUUGACCCGGAAGUGCUUGACCGAGAACACAUCCUCCAUGUCGGGUAUGUCUGUGCGGCGCUCAAACAGCUUCAUGCUGCGGUUCCACUGGUACACCACAGGCCUCUGGGAGCUGCUGGACAAGAUCAGAUGACAGAGAGGUGAAAGGUUACCCGCGGUGAUGCAGUCAAAGGAGUGUGGUAGCAGGUCAUUGAUCUUCCUCCCCUGGUGAGAGGGCGGG